AGUCUGUCAUCCUGGCAAUGGUAAACCCACGGUGUUCUUUAUUCCUACCAACAGAGUUUGGCACAUGUAUCAGUGGAUUGGUGUGAGAGGACCAUAUGGUAUUGCUGCAACUGAGGAGGGAUUCCUUGUGGAAGUGGCUUACAUGACAGACUUGAAGGGUUGAACUUCAAGAGAUGGAAGUGGAGAUACUGGCUGAUAAGCAAAAGCUAAUGACAGGGACUGUCUUUUCUCUCCCUGAUGUGCCUUUCAAGCUUUAUUUGCAUAGCUGAACUGCUGUUUGUUCACUUUUUUACUGCCCCAAGAUCGAGACAAAAAAUCAUGUUGUUUCAAUUGAUAUAAACAUCAAUAAAGCUUGCCUUCUUAUGUAA